AUUGAACGCUGGCGGCAUGCUUUACACAUGCAAGUCGAACGGUAACAGGCCUUCUGGUGCUGACGAGUGGCGCACGGGGGAGUAAUGCAUCGGAGCGUGCGCAGAGGUGGGGGGUAACGCAGCGAAAGCUGGGCUAAUACCGCAUGUGAUCUGAGGAUGAAAGCGGGGGACCAAGCAGCACUGUUUGGCCUCGCGCCUCUGUAGCUGCCGAUGUCAGAUUAGGUAGUUGGUGGGGUAAAGGCCUACCAAGCCGACGAUCGGUAACUGGUCUGAGAGGACGACCAGACACACUGGGACUGAGACACGGCCCAGACUCCUACGGGAGGCAGCAGUGGGGAAUUUUGGACAAUGGGCGAAAGCCUGAUCCAGCAAUGCCGCGUGCGGGAAGAAGGACUUCGGGUUGUAAACCGCUUUUGUACGGAACGAAAAGGAUCUGGCUAAUACCUGGGGCUGAUGACGGUACCGUAAGAAUAAGCACCGGCUAACUACGUG
rnacentral:rRNA from 1 species